rnacentral:lncRNA from 1 species
CCGGCACCGAACCAGGAGGUGGGCAGCCUUGCCGGCCAUGGACCGCCGGAGCUGAGUCGCCUGCGGAGCCCUGAGCUCUUUCUCCUCCCAAGCCCCGAGCCCGCGGUGCCCUAGCUCCUUUUCGCCUUCGCCCUGGAAAGGCGGGGAAAAGAGGGACAUUAACCCGAAGAGAGAAAGAAGGGGGUGAAAAGGGAAAAGCCAGCGUCUCUCCAGAGGCAAUUUCCCAUUGCCCUCUCAACAAACGGCGCGGCAGAAAGUUUAGGGGCCGACUUUCACUCAUUUUGCGCCCAGUUUUUGCCAGACCCUAAAAUGAAAGGACAAAAUUUGGCUCCGACUCUUGCAGCUCUGAUGGCGACUUGUGCGUUUUCAGCGGCAUCUCCUGGAGAAAAAGCCAUGCGCGCCUGAUUGUUCUGUGGCCCCAAGGCUGCAGUGGGUGUGUGUGUUUGGGUGUGUGUCUCUGUGUGUACACAGACGUCCGCACACUAGCUCGGCUGCAGGAUCAGCCCCUGGAAGCAGACGUUUCGGCCACAAACCGAGAGAGGAGGAGCUGGAGAUCAGGAGGCGUGAGCAGCCAGAAGUUUGCAGAAUCCGUGGUGUGAAUGAACUGGGGGCACCUGGGCGCAGGGAUCGGCCCCCCUUCCCCCGCCUCGGGCCAGAGUUGAGUAGUG